UUAAAAAUGUUGAUAAGGAAGAGUAUAUUAUAAUCAUGCUUUGAAGAGAGCUAGAAGUUGGUGAGAAUCUAGUAAAGCAUCAUAAUAGAAGCAGCCUUUGAAUUUCAUUACUGAAAAAUAAGAUAACUUCUUAAUUAGGUAAUGACGUAGACUUCACGUUAUAGAAGGAGAAUAUUAAUUGAUAUUCUAACUAAGAGAACAAUAUUUAUUGUUUAUUAGGGUGGUACCGCGGAGAAUAGCUUUCGUCCCUUGU
rnacentral:ncRNA from 1 species